rnacentral:lncRNA from 1 species
UAUAGAUAUAGAUAUAGAUAUAGAUUUUUUAAUUUUUUUUUUUCCCUGAGUUUUAUCUCCUCAACCAUCUUCCAGCAUCUCUUUUCCUUUAACUACAUCAACCUGAGCAGAGCAGGUGGGGGUAUGGGUUGGCUUCCCAUGCUUUGAUGGAUGAAGACUGAAGGAAACAUCAUCAAAGGCUCCACACAUUUUCAGGUACCCCAGUGAGAUGAGGAGCUGUGGAAUAAAGCUUUGUUGUGCUGUGCAGUGAAGAGGAGCUCCACAGGGUGCUUCAGGGUUCUGAAUGCUUUCUUGCCUCCUUCUUCAGGCGCAGGAAAGGAGUCUUUCCUUCAGUGUUACUCGGGCCAGCAUUUUGGGCAGCCAAGGAAGUUCUUUAAUCUUGGUGCUCUCCCACUCUCACCUCUCCAUUACUGAUACUCGCUUUCCCACCAGGAGGUUGCAGGUGAGGUUGAUCAGAGGCUGUGGCUUCAUGAGGUGUAGCAGCAACAACAAAUUGGUCCUUAAAAAUAGCUUUUCUUCCUGUUUCAUGUUUUUCUGGGAAAAUAACUCUUUUUUAUUUUUUUUCAUCCUUCCCCAGUAAAUGGGUACAGCAGACUGAAUCCAGUUGUUAUGCAGAGAGAGAUCUGAGCCUGCACCUGACAAGAGGCUUGCUUCCACGAGUGACUUUCAUUUACCCCUGAAAGGGAAGCACCACUCCUGAGAUCUUGGUGUCUCUCUGUAGCAUUCUGCUGCUUGGGAAGGGUCUGUUUGGGCUCACAUUAGCGACCUCUUCACCCACAAAGGAAAAAUAAGGAUUUGUAUCCUGCUCUUCACUGGAAGCAUUUCAGCACUUAUCACUGACUCUGGAAGUAAUUUCCUCAGAGAUUUUCUUGGCUUCGUACACAAAAAAGUAAGACCUGAGAAUUGUUUCAUUGCUGUUCCCCUGCCUCCCCAGCCCCCUCCACACAGUAGGACACAAUAGCCUAUUUCCCUUUGUUAUUCUCUUAGUAGAUUCUGGAAG